GGCCUCGUGGUGCUCACUGCAGUGCUCUUACACUGACUGUACAGAAAGAGGAGGCAAGGUAAACUUAUCCCACAUACAUGUCACCCCAGGCCCUGCACCUGGUCUGUAUUGUGAAUAAGGAGACAUGG
rnacentral:snoRNA from 1 species